AACGAACGCUGGCGGCAUGCCUAACACAUGCAAGUCGAACGAGACCUUCGGGUCUAGUGGCGCACGGGUGCGUAACGCGUGGGAACCUGCCCUUAGGUUCGGAAUAACUCCCCGAAAGGGGUGCUAAUACCGGAUAAUGUCUUCGGACCAAAGAUUUAUCGCCUUUGGAUGGGCCCGCGUUGGAUUAGCUAGUUGGUAGGGUAAAAGCCUACCAAGGCGACGAUCCAUAGCUGGUCUGAGAGGAUGAUCAGCCACACUGGGACUGAGACACGGCCCAGACUACUACGGGAGGCAGCAGUGGGGAAUAUUGGACAGUGGGCGAAAGCCUGAUCCAGCAAUGCCGCGUGAGUGAUGAAGGCCUUAGGGUUGUAAAGCUCUUUUACCCGGGAUGAUAAUGACAGUACCGGGAGAAUAAGCUCCGGCUAACUCCGUG
rnacentral:rRNA from 1 species